CUCGAGUGGUGUUUCUUAAAACCUUGUUUUUUCAAGCAUUAAAAAUAUUUUUCAUCGAAAACGUGGAAAUUUAAAUCCAUGAGCACAAUAGCAAUAACAAUAAUCCGAACUUGAUAACAUCGGAAUCCUAAGCUUUCUGGAGAUCUUCCGUAGCCAAAUACAACGACGACGACGCGACAACAUGCUCUGGGAGUUCGGAGGUCUGUUUACACGAGUUCGCAAAUAUAGCCAUAGGUAUCGGAGCCAACCGAAGCGAAGAAUUGAUAAAUUAGUUAUUCCGUCAGUCGUCUGCUGCUGUUCCUCCAGAAACAAGGAACUACAGGUCUUGUGGCGAUCUAAUGUUGCAGAAUCAAAAAGUAUAUUUUUCUGCGAAGCUGACAUAAUUUGAUGUAAUACAUGUAAUCUGAUACAUGUCAGAUGUUAGAGAUUAUACAAG
rnacentral:misc_RNA from 1 species